rnacentral:rRNA from 1 species
AUAAGCUAUUAAGGGCUAAUGGUGGAUGCCUAGACUAUAAGAGGCGAUGAAGGACGUACUAGACUGCGAUAAGCUAAGGGGAGCCGUCAAGAGGCUUUGAUCCUUGGAUUUCCGAAUGGGACAACCCAGCAUACUAUGUAUGUUAUCUGUAUUUAUACAGAAGCGAACCGAGGGAAGUGAAACAUCUCAGUACCUCGAGGAAGAGAAAUCAAUUGAGAUUCUGUUAGUAGCGGCGAGCGAAAACGGAUUAGAGCGGUUAUAUUUAGCAUAUCGGUUAAUAGAACUAGUUGGAAUGCUAGGCGAUACAGAGUGAAAGCCUCGUAUACGAAAACUUUAUAGUGGAACUAAGAUAACGAACGAGUAGGUCGGAACACGUGAUAUUUUGACUGAAUAUGGGGGGACCACCCUCCAACUCUAAAUACUACUUAUAGAUCGAUAGUGCACAAGUACCGUGAGGGAAAGGUGAAAAGUACCCCAGUGAGGGGAGUGAAAUAGAACCUGAAACCAUUAGCUUACAAUCAUUCAGAGCCCUAUGAUUUAUCAGGGUGAUGGACUGCCUUUUGCAUAAUGAGCCUGCGAGUUGUGGUUAGUGGCAAGGUUAAGUCAAGUACGAAGCCGUAGCGAAAGCGAGUCUUAAUAGGGCGAAAUAGUCACUAGCUGCAGACCCGAAACGAAGUGAUCUAUCCAUGAGCAGGUUGAAGCUGGUGUAAGAGCCAGUGGAGGACCGAACCGGUGUGCGUUGAAAAGUGCUCGGAUGACCUGUGGAUAGGGGUGAAAGGCCAAUCAAACUUAGUGAUAGCUGGUUCUCUCCGAAAUAUAUUUAGGUAUAGCGUCAUGUAGUAGCAUAUAGGGGUAGAGCACUGACUGGGCUAGGGCUGCUUACCGCGGUACCAAACCCUAUCAAACUUCGAAUACUAUAUGUGUAAUCAUGGCAGUCAGGCGUAGGGUGAUAAAAUCCUAUGUCGAGAGGGGAACAACCCAGACUAACAGCUAAGGUCCCAAAGUUUUAUCUAAGUGGAAAAGGAUGUGGAGUUGCUGUGACAACCAGGAGGUUGGCUUAGAAGCAGCCAUCCUUUAAAGAAAGCGUAACAGCUCACUGGUCUAGCGAUUCUGCGCCGAAAAUAUAACGGGGCUAAGAUAAACACCGAAGCUUUAGAUUUGGUAUAACUACCAAGUGGUAGGAGAGCGUUCCAUUCAGCGUUGAAGGUAUACCGGUAAGGAGUACUGGAGCGGAUGGAAGUGAGCAUGCAGGCAUGAGUAGCGAGAAAAGAAGUGAGAAUCUUCUUCGCCGUAAACCCAAGGUUUCCUACGCGAUGCUCGUCAUCGUAGGGUUAGUCGGGACCUAAGUCGAGUCCGAAAGGGGUAGACGAUGGCAAAUCGGUUAAUAUUCCGAUACCGACAUAUCAUCAAUUGAGUGAUGGGGGGACGCAUAGAGUUAGACGAGGUCACUGAUGGAAUAGUGGCUCGAAGGACGUAGGUCGUAAGUAGGCAAAUCCGCUUCACACGAGACCGAGAUCUUACAGGCAGACCAAUCACUUCGGUGAGCGGUUUGAAUCGUCGAUACUGUCGUGCCGAGAAAAGCCUCUAAACGAGAUGUAAUGUUGCCCGUACCGUAAACCGACACAGGUGGGUGAGAUGAGUAUUCUAAGGCGCGUGGAAGAACCCUGGUUAAGGAACUCUGCAAACUAGCACCGUAUCUUCGGUAUAAGGUGUGCCUAUGAGAAUAGGUCGCAGCAAAGAGUCCCUGCCGACUGUUUAGCAAAAACACAGCACUCUGCUAACUCGCAAGAGGAUGUAUAGGGUGUGACGCCUGCCCGGUGCUGGAAGGUUAAGGGGAUUGGUUAGCGUAAGCGAAGCCAUGAACCGAAGCCCCAGUAAACGGCGGCCGUAACUAUAACGGUCCUAAGGUAGCGAAAUUCCUUGUCGGUU